GAUGAAGAACGUAGCGAAAUGCGAUACGUAAUGUGAAUUGCAGAAUUCAGUGAAUCAUCGAAUCUUUGAACGCACAUUGCGCCUGCCAGCACUCUGGCAGGCAUGCCUGUUCGAGCGUCAUUUCAACCAUCAAGCCCUAGGCUUGCGUUGGAGCCCUGCGGCUGCCGCAGGCCCCUAAAAGCAGUGGCGGGCUCGCUAUCACACCGAGUGCAGUAGAUUACUCUUCGCUCAGGGCGUGUGGCGGGUUCCAGCCGUGAAACCCCCUACUUCUCAAGGUUGACCUCGGAUCAGGUAGGAAUACCCCCUGAACUUAAGCAUAUCAAUAAGCGGAGGA
rnacentral:misc_RNA from 1 species